UAAUAACGCCUUGUGACAUAUUUGCAGUUUACUAAAGAUUUGGAAUCUCAAUGAUUUGAAUGGAGUGAUUGGAGUGUUCAACUGUCAAGGGGCUAGAUGGUGUAGAAUUGGAAAGAGAAACCUCAUUCACGACGAACGACCGGAUACAAUAACUGGAACCGUUCGGGCUAAUGAUGUGGACUACUUACCAAGAAUUGCUCCUGAUGGAUGGAGAGGCGAUGCUGUUGUCUAUUCUCAUAUUCAUGGAAAUCUAGUCUACCUUCCAAGCAAUGCUGCUCUGCCAAUUACACUGAUGGCACGGGAGUACGAGGUUUUCACGGUUGUUCCUGUCAAGGAAACAUCAAAUGGUUCUCGAUUCGCUCCUAUAGGCCUCAUCAGGAUGUUCAAUUCAGGUGGAGCGGUCAAAGAAGUAGGUUAUGAAAAGGUUGAUGCGGGGAACAUACGCAUCAAAACACGGGGAUGUGGUACUUUUGGAGCCUAUUCAUCAGUCAGACCCAAAAGAAUCACAGUUGACACAGAGGAAGUCCAGUUUCAUUUUGAAGAAGCCUCUGGAUUGGUAACCCUCGAUCUCUCAGUCCCAGAGAGAGAGUUGUACCUCUGGACCAUCAACAUUGAAGUCUAAACAAUUAGUUACAGCAUUGAAGGCCGGGCCCCAUUAAUUUAGAACUCUGUAAACCUCCUUUAACACAACUACUAUUUCGUUGCAACGGUAAAAGAUGGCAUGCCCAAAAAUCAGCGGAUGGUUUUGGAUUGGAUAGGCUCUAUAUGUUUCGCAAACCCAUCAUCUCGAAGAACCUUUUGCUUCAUACUCCUAGAUUUUUUACCAUUUCAUCUUAUGAACGAGACAAAGAUAUUCCAUAACGAAAAUAAUGUUGGAAUGUAUGCCCUAAAACAAUGUAUUUGUUUUUAUAUUAUACAUUCCUUAUUAUAUGUUUUGUAUUUUAA